rnacentral:rRNA from 1 species
UCUUGACACUAUACCAUCCUGAACAUACUGAAUCUCAUCUGGUUUCAGAAGCUCUCUAAGGUCAGGCAUGGGCAGUACUUGGAUGGGAGACCACUAGGGAAUCUCAGGGAACUCCAGAU